UAGGGAAUCUUCGGCAAUGGACGAAAGUCUGACCGAGCAACGCCGCGUGAGUGAAGAAGGUUUUCGGAUCGUAAAACUCUGUUGUUAGAGAAGAACAAGGACGUUAGUAACUGAACGUCCCCUGACGGUAUCUAACCAGAGAGCCACGGCUAACUACGUGCCAGCAGCCGCGGUAAUACGUAGGUGGCAAGCGUUGUCCGGAUUUAUUGGGCGUAAAGCGAGCGCAGGCGGUUUCUUAAGUCUGAUGUGAAAGCCCCCGGCUCAACCGGGGAGGGUCAUUUGAAACUGGGAGACUUGAGUGCAGAAGAGGAGAGUGGAAUUCCAUGUGUAGCGGUGAAAUGCGUAGAUAUAUGGAGGAACACCAGUGGCGAAGGCGGCUCUCUGGUCUGUAACUGACGCUGAGGCUCGAAAGCGUGGGGAGCAAACAGG
rnacentral:rRNA from 1 species